CCACAAGGAGACUACUGCCUGUUACACGAAUGCAGUAUGCCAAAGGUGAAUCCCUGACUGGCUCCUCAGCAGAAAUACAUCGUUGGAGUUGAGCGAGGCUGCCAGGGCAGGCACCUCGAUGGCUUUGGUGUUGGAGGCGUCAGAACCGCGGACCUGGAACAAUCUGACUGGUGGCUCUGGGUCAGACACGCCUUUUCUGGAGAACACUGGAUUAUUGACCCCUGGCUGCUCUGACCCUGAGACUGCCUGCCAUUCUGGACCUUUUUUUUAACCCUAUCUGGAUUAAUGACGUUGUUGACCUGUCUUUGACCUGUCUUUUUGCAUGCCCAUGUAUUAA